rnacentral:lncRNA from 1 species
GGGCCAGUUGUACUGUUAGAGGGGGCCAGUUGUACUGUUAGAGGGGCCAGUUGUACUGUUAGAGGGGCCAGUUGUUCUGUUAGAGGGGGCCAGUUGUUCUGUUAGAGGGGGCCAGUUGUACUGUUAGAGGGGCCAGUUGUUCUGUUAGAGGGGCCAGUUGUACUGUUAGAGGGGGCCAGUUGUACUGUUAGCGGGGCCAGUUGUACUGUUAGAGGGGCCAGUUGUUCUGUUAGAGGGGGCCAGUUGUGCUGUUAGAGGGGCCAGUUGUACUGUUAGAGGGGCCAGUUAUACUGUUAGACGGGCCAGUUAUACUGUUAGAGGGGCCAGUUAUACUGUUAGAGGGGCCAGUUAUACUGUUAGAGGGGCCAGUUAAACACACACAGGGCCAGUUAUACUGUUAGAGGGGCCAGUUGUACUGUUAGAGGGGGCCAGUUGUACUGUUAGAGGGGCCAGUUGUACUGUUAGAGGGGCCAGUUGUUCUGUUAGAGGGGGCCAGUUGUACUGUUAGAGGGGCCAGUUGUACUGUUAGAGGGGCCAGUUGUUCUGUUAGAGGGGCCAGUUGUACUGUUAGAGGGGCCAGUUAUAGUGUUAGAGGGGCCAGUUGUACUGUUAGAGGGGCCAGUUUGGGGCCAGUUGUACUGUUAGAGGGGCCAGUUGUACUGUUAGAGGGGCCAGUUGUACUGUUAGAGGGGCCAGUUGUACUGUUAGAGGGGCCAGUUGUGCUGUUAGAGGGGCCAGUUGUACUGUUAGAGGGGCCA